rnacentral:lncRNA from 1 species
UAUCAGAAUCACCCAGUGAGCUUAUUAGCAUGUGUUACUGGGUGGAAGUAACAAGGUGGAAGCAGCAAGAAGUGAAAUCAAUGUGUUUUCAAAGGUCUGAUCCCUGAGGCAAGUUGCCCCCAUUUCAUGUCAGCUUUGGCCUUUAUCUAGCCUUUCUAGAAAAUCUCAAGCCAAUUUCAGUAAGUGUCCCUUGGCAUAGCAGACUGUAUGUGGUUGUAGCUAUGCCUCUUGCUGUUGGUGAAGGGUUGCUUCUACUGUUUGUGUUCUGAGGGUGACUUAGACUCAGGCUCCCGGAAGCAGUUCACUCUUGACUGCAAGAGAAAAAAAGCUUGACCGGAAGUAACAUUUUAACACCCUUUGGCCAUUCUACUUCCUUAGAACGUUUCCUGUUUUAUGAUUUCCCUAGUGCUUUAGUGUCUGUGCUUACGACUAUUUCAUGAGUUACAGAGAAAGAAAAGGACAGGUAGAGAAAGUGAAGACACUGGGUAAAGUCUUAGGGCUGUGCUUUAUUUCCCUUGGCUGACUGAGAGAAAAGGACAGAGAGGCAGUCAGUGGGGCCAGAAAAGCUGUGAACUUGACAGUGCCAAGUUACCUGCUGUUGUGUUUCUUAGGGGAAGAAGAGAAAUGAAGGGAGUCAGGCUGAGGCUAGAAUUCUCCACUUUGACAACUUCUGCAAGAUAUUUGUGUAUACUGGGUUUGAACCUAACUACAAGUCAGUGUGAAGUUCUUAGAAACAAGGAUGCCAGUCGCCCUAGACCGUCUGCACAUUCACGUUCACUCUGAGCUUUUCCUGGCUUGUCUCUGCAGGGUGUGGAAGAUAGGAGAAGGCAGCCCAGCUUUCUGAGGGCCAGCUGUGCUUGUGUGUGUCCUGCUGAGCUGGGCUCCGGUCUUGUUGAAGGAACUGGUAUCAGGGUCUCCUGUGGUGAUGAUCGUCAAGGUCGCUCUUUGCUCGGCACUCCUUUUAGUUCACAGCUACAGUUUUUAGGCUUCAUGUGGUAUUCAUGUGGUGUACUGGUUAUGCAAAAAUAAAGAACUGGAUCAAAGACAAGACAUUUCUUGAUCAUAAGGCAAAGAAUCAGUCUGUCUUUUCAGAUCCAGAAAGCUAAUAGAUAAAGGAUUCAGGAGUCUCUAUCUACAUAACUGGCUGGCUCCCAGAAUCCUGCAUAAGUCUUCUAGAGGAGGGCUGUGAGCCUAACCUUUGAAAGGUUUGGUUUUAUGUCUAGCUUUGUGUUCCAUGAAACUUGCUCCCAGAGUCUCUGCCAGACUCACCAAGUCCAACUCUGUCCUUAUUUCCUCCUCCUGAGUUCCAUCAAUCAUGGGGUGGAAGGGGUGUGGAGACAGCAGAGGUCUGGUUCACAUUCCGUAUUCAUUGUCAAGUCCAGCUGGCUGUGAUCUCGCUGUACUUUAAAAGGACAGGCUUAUCAACUCCCAACAUUUUGACAUGAUGCUUCAUUGUAUUCUUCCCAAAGUCAUGUCAUUGUCACACAGUUAUUUAAUAAAAUCAAAGCAGUUAGCCAAAACAGACCCCAGACAGCUUCCCGACUCCGCUCCUGCUCCUCCCCUCACCAAAGGAGUGAUCUGAAGCCCUCCCUCUCUGCUGCUUGCCAUUCUGUUUUACAUUAGGAUCUCAUUCGUAUCCUGCUCAUGGUCUUAAUUCUCUUAAUUUUUUUUUUUUCUGGCUCUGAGGGUGGGAUGGGUGAGAGCUUAGCUGAUUUGGAAACACCUCGUUUCAAUGUUUCCCUGCCUUGCUUCCAGCUUUUCUGCUAAGAUGUGCAAUAAGCAGUAGGAGCCACGUUUGUCUUCCAAGUGCUAAUUGACAUACAAUCGUCUUUCAUUUUCAGGGCACAUCUUGGUCCGAUUCCAAACAUUAAUUCUGGGACAAUGAAACUCACCGGGAGUCAGGCUGUUGAAUCAAUCUUACUUUCUCUAUUAAAUUACUAUGUGGAAAGAAGCGGUUCUUAUGACUACUGAUACCUGAUUUAUGUCUCGGAGCUUGAGAUAGUGACUCAGUGUGUGAUUAAUGUGAAGGGAAGGAGCUCAGACGCUGGGAAAGGAAGAGAAGAGAUAGAGAUAAAUUAGAUGCUGAAUACAUAAACUAGUAAUUGAGAUGUCAGUUGCAGGUCAGAAUAUAACAGAUUAGCGCCCUGAUGAUUUGGCAGCUCAUGGAGAAGGGAAAGGGAAUCGUGUUGGCCCAGCACUGAUUCAUGAGAAAACUAAGUCAUGUUAGACUAACCUCAUUUCCCUUCACUGUAGAACCACUCUAGUGAAAGAAGAUUGGGAUAGAAAGGGAUGGCUUUGAGUCGUUUCAGGAUUAAGCAUAAUGAAAUCUCUUGUGUACUGAAGAGAAAUGUGAAUGAGAAAAUGUCAUCAUUAAUAUUUAUAACCAAAUGGAUAACUAUCCAACAGCCAGCCAAUCUGCAGUUGUUAAUUAAGACCUGAGACUGUGCUAUUGGCUAACCGAUUUCCCAUUUUUAUCAAUGAUUUAUCUCGGAUGACAAUCAGGAUUUAGAAUGAUUUAAAGUAAAUCAUUCUAAAUUUUUAACUGGUAAAACACUGGUGAGCCCAGCAUGGCGGCUCAGGCCUGGAGGCUAAGGCAG